rnacentral:rRNA from 1 species
GACGAACGCUGGCGGCGUGCUUAACACAUGCAAGUCGAACGGGAAGGCCUCUUCGGAGGUACUCGAGUGGCGAACGGGUGAGUAACACGUGGGCAAUCUGCCCUGCACUUCGGGAUAAGCCUGGGAAACUGGGUCUAAUACCGGAUAGGACCUCAAGACGCAUGUCUUCUGGUGGAAAGCUUUUGCGGUGUGGGAUGGGCCCGCGGCCUAUCAGCUUGUUGGUGGGGUGACGGCCUACCAAGGCGACGACGGGUAGCCGGCCUGAGAGGGUGUCCGGCCACACUGGGACUGAGAUACGGCCCAGGCUCCUACGGGAGGCAGCAGUGGGGAAUAUUGCACAAUGGGCGCAAGCCUGAUGCAGCGACGCCGCGUGGGGGAUGACGGCCUUCGGGUUGUAAACCUCUUUCACCAUCGACGAAGGUCCGGGUUUUCUCGGAUUGACGGUAGGUGGAGAAGAAGCACCGGCCAACUACGUGCCAGCAGCCGCGGUAAUACGUAGGGUGCGAGCGUUGUCCGGAAUUACUGGGCGUAAAGAGCUCGUAGGUGGUUUGUCGCGUUGUUCGUGAAAUCUCACGGCUUAACUGUGAGCGUGCGGGCGAUACGGGCAGACUAGAGUACUGCAGGGGAGACUGGAAUUCCUGGUGUAGCGGUGGAAUGCGCAGAUAUCAGGAGGAACACCGGUGGCGAAGGCGGGUCUCUGGGCAGUAACUGACGCUGAGGAGCGAAAGCGUGGGGAGCGAACAGGAUUAGAUACCCUGGUAGUCCACGCCGUAAACGGUGGGUACUAGGUGUGGGUUUCCUUCCUUGGGAUCCGUGCCGUAGCUAACGCAUUAAGUACCCCGCCUGGGGAGUACGGCCGCAAGGCUAAAACUCAAAGGAAUUGACGGGGGCCCGCACAAGCGGCGGAGCAUGUGGAUUAAUUCGAUGCAACGCGAAGAACCUUACCUGGGUUUGACAUGCACAGGACGCGUCUAGAGAUAGGCGUUCCCUUGUGGCCUGUGUGCAGGUGGUGCAUGGCUGUCGUCAGCUCGUGUCGUGAGAUGUUGGGUUAAGUCCCGCAACGAGCGCAACCCUUGUCUCAUGUUGCCAGCGGGUAAUGCCGGGGACUCGUGAGAGACUGCCGGGGUCAACCCGGAGGAAGGUGGGGAUGACGUCAAGUCAUCAUGCCCCUUAUGUCCAGGGCUUCACACAUGCUACAAUGGCCGGUACAAAGGGCUGCGAUGCCGUAAGGUUAAGCGAAUCCUUUUAAAGCCGGUCUCAGUUCGGAUUGGGGUCUGCAACUCGACCCCAUGAAGUCGGAGUCGCUAGUAAUCGCAGAUCAGCAACGCUGCGGUGAAUACGUUCCCGGGCCU